rnacentral:rRNA from 1 species
UACGUAGGAGGCAAGCGUUGUCCGGAAUUACUGGGCGUAAAGCGCGUGUAGGUGGGAGGCUAAGUCUGUGGUGAAAGCGCCCGGCUCAACUGGGCAGAGUCCAUGGAAACUGGUCACCUGGAGGACGGUAGAGGCGAGUGGAAUUCCCGGUGUAGUGGUGGAAUGCGCAGAUAUCAGGAGGAACACCGAUGGCGAAGGCAGCUCGCUGGGACGGUACUGACACUGAGGCGCGAAAGCGUGGGGAGCGAACAGG